UACAGAGGUGGCAAGCGUUGUUCGGAAUUACUGGGCGUAAAGGGCGCGUAGGCGGUCCCGUCAGUCCCUUGUGAAAUCCCCCGGCUCAACUGGGGAACUGCAAGGGAUACAGCGGGGCUUGAGUUCGGGAGAGGGAAGCGGAAUUCCGGGUGUAGCGGUGAAAUGCGUAGAUAUCUGGAGGAACACCGGUGGCGAAGGCGGCAUCCUGGACCGGUAUUGACGCUGAGGCGCGAAAGCCAGGGGAGCAAACGGG
rnacentral:rRNA from 1 species